rnacentral:rRNA from 1 species
GAUGAACGCUGGCGGCGUGCCUAAUGCAUGCAAGUCGAGCGAAUGGAUUAAGAGCUUGCUCUUAUGAAGUUAGCGGCGGACGGGUGAGUAACACGUGGGUAACCUGCCCAUGAGACUGGGAUAACUCCGGGAAACCGGGGCUAAUACCAGAUAACAUUUUGAACCGCAUGGCUCGAAAUUGAAAGGCGGCUUCGGCUGUCACUUAUGGAUGGACCCGCGUCGCAUUAGCUAGUUGGUGAGGUAACGCCUCACCAAGGCAACGAUGCUUAGCCGACCUGAGAGGGUGAUCGGCCACAAUGGGACUGAGACACGGCCCAGACUCCUACGGGAGGCAGCAGUAGGGAAUCUUCCGCAAUGGACGAAAGUCUGACGGAGCAACGCCGCGUGAGUGAUGAAGGCUUUCGGGUCGUAAAACUCUGUUGUUAGGGAAGAAUAAGUGCUAGUUGAAUAAGCUGGCACCUUGACGGUACCUAACCAGAAAGCCACGGCUAACUACGUGCCAGCAGCCGCAGUAA